UAAACCUGGACCCUCCUUUGUUCCCCGUCUUCUGUCCCUAGAUGCCUUUGAUGUGGGUUCAUUGAACCCAUCAGAACUCUAUACAGAAGACCCUUCCCAGCCUUCAGUCGUCGACCUCAGCUGUUCAUAGUGUGUGUUUGCGUGGACUCUGUAGUUGUUUGUGUGCCUGCCUGUGAUGUCAGCUUGGGGGGUGAGUUGGAGACAAAGAGGCCACUCACCCUGAUGUUCAUGUGGCAACAGAGAGAGUUUAUUCUCAAGCCCAUGCUUAUAAAGGGUAUUUGAAAUCCUGCUCUGGAUAUUUUCAUUGGUCUGAUCUCUAUGCUCCUUCAGGUUCUGGACAGUGAAUGCCUGCAGCCUCGGGAGAGAUGUGAUUGGAGAGGCCCCUGUCAGUCAGCCCAGGGGCUGGUUAGUUGGCCUAGCCCAAACCAGCUUCUAUGUGGCAACACCUGCCCAGAUGCCAUCAUAUGGAGAUGCUUCUGGGAAGGUAGUGGCAACUCACCAUCCGCCCGUGCUGCUACAGAAGUGUCCCUGCCUUCAUUCCUAAGUGGCAGCUGGAAUAUUAUACCUUUUCUCCAGGUGUUUCUUCAUGACAUGGAUAUGGUUUUUCAGCUAAUGACAAACCUUUUAGACCUUAUUGAAGAGUAAUGAAUUUAAUGAAAAGCCCAUGUAAACAUCAAGCUAAGAAUUCUGGUGCUAAAACAGGGCAGAUGAUCCCCUCCCUUGGAUCCCACUGCUGCCAUAUGCAUCUAAUCCCAAGCAGAGGAGCUUGUUUGUAAUGGAGAACUCUUCUCUGAAUGGGGAACUCACAAAGGAAAGCUGGCCUGUGCUUCCAGACAAGAAGAAAAGUGAAAGUGAAGACAAUGACUGCCAGAUGGAAUGCUGAAGAUUAUUCUGCAUCACUUAAUUGGAGUUUAUAAUUAAAAAAUGUGAGUUUUAUUAUUCAUGAAAGAGAGUUGCUUCAGAAGAAGCAAGAGCUGAAGUGCUGAAUGUCAUAUGGAGCUGUGGAAAGGCUGGACAAGGAUCCACAACUCCAGAAGAAACACCAGGUAAUCCCUUGCCGGCCAAGAGGAAGCCUGGGAUCUCUUAAAGACUUUAGGGUUGAGAAAACAACUGUAUCCAUAAGUUCAUGUUCCUUUCACUGUGUCAGAAGACUAAAAUGGAAAAUUAAAUCCACAGAUUUUCCUGAAAAAAGUUUGGUCCUAGAAAAGCUUUCCUGUGUUGAACAAAUAAAUAGAAGAAGCAGAUGAAAUCUGGUUGAAGAAAUGCUCAGCAAUCCUGUCCCCACAGACUCUCCACACAUCAGUGAAAUAUUGCCCCAAAAGAGAUUUAUCUGUACAUAUUUAGGGCCAAAACAGAUAUUAUUUUCAUCACAAUACAGAAAAAAUAAUUUGAAGCUGCUGACGUGUAACUCAGUAGUACAGUUUCUAAAGAAAGCUUUUUAGCUUUUGACUGUAAUAUUUA